GCGGAGGGAUCAUUACAGA
rnacentral:rRNA from 1 species